GUGCUCACUUCUGCAGCACAUAUGCUAAAAUUGGAAUGAUACACAGAAGAUCAGCAUGGCUCCUGAGAGUGGAUGACAUGCAAAUUUGUGAAUCAUUCCAUAUUUAC
ensembl:snRNA U6 U6 spliceosomal RNA